rnacentral:lncRNA from 1 species
CAGGUUCAGUGUACAGUGUACAGGGACAGUCCAGCAGAGUACAGGAAAAGUAAAGAGAUCUGUAAUAGCUUAGAGUGGACAUGUAAUAUUAAAGAGAUGUAAUAGUUGUUGCUUGACCUAGUGAUGUAUGUUUUGUACAUGAUCUGUAUAUGUAUAUAUGUUUUCCUGUAUGAGAAAACCAGGCUUAACAGGUAUGAGUUAACCCAUCUAGAGCAAGCUCUAGUCAGGGAUACAGAGUACAGAGAUAGUGCAUGCACAGGUUAAGCCUUGG